rnacentral:rRNA from 1 species
CCUUCGGGUGGCAGCAGUGAGGAAUAUUGGUCAAUGGGCUUACGCCUGAACCAGCCAAGUCGCGUGAGGGAAGACUGCCCUAUGGGUUGUAAACCUCUUUUGUCAGGGAGCAAUUGGCGCUACGUGUAGCGUUAUCGAGAGUACCUGAAGAAAAAGCAUCGGCUAACUCCGUGCCAGCAGCCGCGGUAAUACGGAGGAUGCGGGCGUUAUCCGGAUUGAUUGGGUUUAAAGGGUGCGUAGGCGGAAUGCCAAGUCAGCGGUAAAAUCGGGGGGCUCAACCUCGCCACGCCGUUGAAACGUGCGUUCGUGAGUGGGCGAGAAGUAUGCGUAAUGCGUGGUGUAGCGGUGAAAUGCAUCGAUAUCACGCAGAACUCCGAUUGCGAAGGCAGCAUACCGGCGCCCAACUGACGCUGAAGCACGAAAGCGUGGGUAUCGAACAGGAGUAGAUACCCUGGUAGUC